UGCAGAUGCUGCAGCACACGGUGAUCCCGGAGCGGCCCAUGUUCUACCCGGAUUACCCGCCGCAGGAGCCGGAGCAAGGGGUGGUGACGCUGGAGGAAGACAGGGACCCUGUGGAGAGAGUUGAGGAAGCACUGCAGUGCCUCACUCAAGAUCUACUUUGAGAGCAUCCUCGACACCAGCAGCAAGAAACCUCCUCCUCAACGCGUCCGUCCCCGACGAGCCCUCUUUACCAGAGGAGGUGGAGGAGCAGGCCACCAUCCCUCUUCGCACAUGCCUCCUCUCUCAUCCAGCGCAUGGAGGGGAUAACUGAUGGCUACUUCCCCCUCCCCUCCUAGCCUUGCGGGCAUACGUGGUUCACCCGUCCGAUACUGCACGGCCUCUGCACCCUGGGUUUCGCGGCCCAGGCGGUCAUCAAGUCGUUCUGCAACGGGGAUCCAACGGCUGUGCAGAACAUAUUUGGCGGGUUCCUGCUGCAUGUCUACCCCGGCGAAACGCUGGUCACCGAGAUGUGGGUCGAUGGCUAGAGGGUGCAGUACCAGACCAAGGUGAAAGAGCGCGACCGCGCCGUGCUCUCCGGAUACGUGCUGCUCAAACAACAUAUCCCCUCAUCAUUGUGAUCGUUGGUGUUGUCGCUGUUGUUGUCAUGGGAUCAGUGCCUCACCACUUCAAUGUCAUGAUUCUUGGCCCAAGGCAGCCUUUGUAUGGAGGUGUCCAUUGUAUUGUUGGGAUAGUAGCAGAUGUGCCAUUGUUCUAUUGUGUAAUUAUGUCCGUUCUUUCUAUAUUCCUGUGUAAAGAAAUGUAUUCAAGAGAUGAGUUAUUGUGUUAUGUAAACCUGGGAGAUGUAUUAUGUGAUGUUA